rnacentral:rRNA from 1 species
GAUGAACGCUGACAGAAUGCUUAACACAUGCAAGUCUUUGGCGAAGCUGUGCUUGCACAGCCUAGCCAAGGCGGACGGGUGAGUAACGCGUAAGGAACUUGCCCUGCAGUCAGGGAUAACAGACGGAAACGACUGAUAAGACCUGGUAAAGUCAGGCGGACUCAUGUCCAGCCUGAUGAAAAGAGAUGCUGCAGGAGAGCCUUGCGUCCUAUUAGCUUGUUGGUGGGGUAACGGCACACCAAGGCGAUGAUAGGUAGCCGGCCUGAGAGGGUGGACGGCCACAAGGGGACUGAUAUACGGCCCUUACUCCUGCGGGAGGCAGCAGUGGAGAAUAUUGGACUAGGGGGGCAACCCUGAUCCAGAAAUUCUGUGUGCACGAUGAAGGUUUUCGGAUUGUAAAGUGCUUUCAGCAGAGAAGAAAAAAAUGACGGUACCUGCAGAAGAAGCGACGGCUAAAUACGUG